rnacentral:pre_miRNA from 1 species
AUGUAGUGUGACAUGCCCGUUUGGGUUAAACUCUGAUGUUGUGUAUUUAAUUAUUAAUUGCUUUUGGGUAACGAGGUGUUACAAUUAG